rnacentral:lncRNA from 1 species
GAAAUCCACGAGAUUUGUAUAACCACCGGCAUGCUCAAUUAAGGAAUGUGGUUGAGAGGACAUUUGGCAUUUUGAAGAAGCGUUUCAAAAUUCUAAAUGUAGCAACACCGUUUUCGUAUAAAGUUCAAUGCUUGAUUGCUAUGGCAUGUUGUAUAAUACAUAACUUUAUUCGCCGUUACCAAGCAAAUGAUAACAUUUUUUCUGAUGAGGGUCCAGAUGAACAGGACGCUGAAAAUGAAGAUGGAGUGGGCGAUUUAGUGGGAGUAAUUGAGGACUCCUAAAAUGGUGAGGAUCUACGUGCUAAUAUUACAAAUCAAUUGUGGAACACUAGAAUAUAAUUUUAUAUAAAUUAGAUAAUUGUAUUGAUAUUUGGUAGAAUUGAGUGUAGUGGUUAUAUUGUUAUUUGACAAUUGUAAGAUGAUGAUGUAUGAGAUGCAUAUGCUUUGUAAUACUUGCUUAUUUAUGCCUGUUAUGGAACAUGUAUUAAUGUUAUAUAUUGUGAUGAUAUUUUCUGCGUUGAAUAUUGGUAGGUAGAUAUGUUGGUAGAUAUUCUUAUUUUUUUACUCUGUUAUAUAUUUGUACUCUUUCAAAAUGUUUUGGUUGUAUAUGUUUUUAUUUUUGAUUCAAUGUGUUGUUAUCUGUGUAAAUGUUCGUUGAUGUGCAGAUUGACUUGAUGUACGUAAAUAUUUUUAAAUUAUUAAUGAUAUUCGAAUAGCAAUGCAAAGUUUGAAAGAUCAGAACAAAUCGGAUUUGAAAACGCCUAAUGAUACUCAACUCCACUAGGGGCUAAAUUUGAAAGGUUGGAAAUUAGUAUUUUUGGAGGGUUAAAAUGAUAUUAUAACUAAAAUAUUAAUUGUAGUUCAGGAAAUACUAUUGUGAGUGAAAUUUAAAAAUAUGACAAUUUUAAUAUUGUUGUUUGAAAAUUUGAGAAAUUUUUCAAAAUUACAAAAGAGUAGUGGAAAAUAAUUUUUGAUAUACAAUUACGCAAAAAUUUAUAUGAUUUUAAUCCUCAUAAUAAUUUGCAAGCAUAGAAUUUUUAAAACAAUAAAUAAAAUAUUUAUUUUAAAUGAUUACAGUGAUGCUAUUUUAGUAAUUUUACUUUCUUUAUUAAUCAUUAUCCUUCUUAUCCCACCUACUCCAACCAAUCAUUAUCUUCCUUAUCAAUCAUUAUCUUCUUAUUCCACCUACUCCAACCAAUCAUUAUCCUUCUUUAUCAAUCAUUAUCUUCUUAUCCCACCUACUCCAACCCCACCUACUCCAACCAAUCAUUAUCCUUCUUUAUCAAUCAUUAUCUUCUUAUCCCACCUACUCCAACCAAACACUAUUUUUCAUUAUUCUAGACUAACUCCAACCCCCAACCAAACACAAAAAAACUUUAACCCUACUUUAACCCUGAACUUAACCCUAUCCCUGAAAUAGCUACUUUUUCCUUAACCCCGAACCAAACGGAGGCUCAGGAAUUAGCCAUUCUCUACUUUCGGGUAAUAUCAAAUUCGACCUACCUCAAUACAUAUAGUUA